rnacentral:rRNA from 1 species
GAUCAUGGCUCAGGAUGAACGCUGGCGGCGUGCUUAACACAUGCAAGUCGAACGAUUGAAGCUGGAGCUUGCUCCGGCCGAUUUAGUGGCGGACGGGUGAGUAACGCGUGGGUAACCUGCCUCAUACAGGGGGAUAGCAGUUGGAAACGACUGGUAAAACCGCAUAAGCGUACGGUAUCGCAUGAUACAGUGUGAAAACACUCCGGUGGUAUGAGAUGGACCCGCGUCUGAUUAG